UCUAAGCGAAAGACAUGAGGCCUAAGACUGACAAUGAGGUUGUUUUGAGGCCAUCUGAUUUCUGACUAGAAGGUGUGUGCGAUCGCCUCGUCCUGAAACCACUUCAAACAGAAUGGUUUGCAAUUUUUUUUGGUGAUGGCAUAUUCAGAAUCUUGGAUCCCUAAGUUGAAUAUGUUGGAAAUGUUUUAGGAACUCUGGAUAUUAUUGUUUUUGUAUAUAUAAUGACUUAAUAGGCGAAUCAGUAGGUUUAAUAAAAAAGUAUAUAAAAGAA